CAAAAUAAAAAUAUGUUUGAUGUGAGUGGGGGGAAAAAUCAGCUCUUUCUAACAUGUCCAGCUCAGUUUUGAGUGCUUGUUGCAGCUUCCUGGUGCUCAGUGUCAUGUUUCUUUAAUUGCCUGGUGUUUUGUGUUUAGCAGAUGAAAAGAGUCAAUGCAGGACAUCCUUGUCAAACUGGCUGCUGAAGUUUGGUGAAAAGAUUUACUACGACAGGCUUUCUCGUGCCUUGCAGCACAUCGGCAGAACAGACAUUGCCCUAGAAGUGGGGAAGAACAUCAACCAGGAUAAAAUCUUAAACUUGAAGCGUUACGUUGAGGACUACCAAAAACAUGCCAACUCUCUAACCGACCUGCCCACAAAGCCAGAUCAACACGGGCACAAUCAGGAAGGCCGAAGGAUAAAGAUUGAGGACGUGUCGUGGCGUGACCUGGAUCUGAUCAUGAAGCGAGCGCCGGUCCCCGUGUAUCCGAGGGGGAUUCUGGAUGUGGCGCUGCCUGUUUUGUAUGGCAUCCUGCUCAGCUUGGUCACCUGUGCAGGUUUCCUCCUCAUCCUUGUUCUUGUUUCUCGGGAAUCAGGUUGAUCAUUUUAGGAUGUUUCCAGAACAAUAAAAUGUUUCUGGUUGAGUGUCUGCAAAUAAAUACACAAAAUCUU